CGGGUGCACUGAUCCGGCCGGGCCUUUCCCUCUGUGGAACCCCAUGGCCUUCACUGGCUGUGCGGGGGAAACAGGACUUUUACUGUGAAAAAAUUAGAGUGCUCCAGGCAGGCCUAUGCUCGAAUACAUUAGCAUGGAAUAAUAGAAUAGGACGCGUGGUUCUAUUUUGUUGGUUUCUAGGACCGCCGUAAUGAUUAAUAGGGACAGUCGGGGGCAUCAGUAUUCAAUUGUCAGAGGUGAAAUUCUUGGAUCUAUUGAAGACUAACUACUGCGAAAGCAUUUGCCAAGGAUGUUUUCAUUGAUAAGGAACGAAAGUUAGGGGAUCGAAGACGAUCAGAUACCGUCGUAGUCUUAACUAUAAACUAUGCCGACUAGGGAUCGGACGAUGUUAUUUCUUGACGCGUUCGGCACCUUUCGAGAAAUCAAAGUGCUUGGGCUCCAGGGGGAGUAUGGUCGCAAGGCUGAAACUUAAAGAAAUUGACGGAAGGGCACCACCAGGGGUGGAACCUGCGGCUUAAUUUGACUCAACACGGGGAAACUCACCAGGUCCAGACACAGUGAGGAUUGACAGAUUGAGAGCUCUUUCUUGAUUCUGUGGGUGGUGGUGCAUGGCCGUUCUUAGUUGGUGGAGUGAUUUGUCUGGUUAAUUGCGAUAACGAACGAGACCUUAACCUGCUAAAUAGCCCGUACUGCUCUGGCAGUUCGCCGGCUUCUUAGAGGGACUAUCGG
rnacentral:rRNA from 1 species